rfam:Stegodyphus mimosarum contig78807, whole genome shotgun sequence.
GCCUUCGUGGUACAGUGUUCAGAACGUUCGACGCGUAACCGAGGGGUCCGUGGUUCGAUUCCCAGCGAAGGCG